rnacentral:tRNA from 1 species
CAGAGUGUAUCCUAGUGGUAUCUAUCCAGAGGUGGAAUCAGGAGGUUGUGGGUUCGAGUCCCCCCUCUCCCC